GCUGGCGCUGUGUACUGUCCAAGGUAAACAGCACACAGUAGGUGGGGGCUGCUGGCAGCCAUGACAGCCCUCUGGCCUGUUAUUUAUAGCUGUUAGCGUAUGGCGGUUAAUGUGUAACAAGCCCAUGCUGCUUACUAUUCAUGCUACUUCAACAAGAAGGAAUCUGGGGUGAGGCCUUGCGGUGCAGCUGCUUUCAUGUGUUAUCUUCAUGGCGAGGGGAGAGGUUUCUCAAGGUGUUUCCAUGAAGAGCCAGGCUUUGCAGUGCCUGGCCUGUGACAAGCCACUCAAGGGCUUUUGGGAAGGGAGGGGUGGAGCUCAGCUGCCAAAGCUGCAAUACCACAGACAAAAUGAAAUCAGGAGAAAAUAAGCAUUCUGGGUUAGAGAACUGUGUCUGUUUAUUGAAGAAGAACCACAGGACAUCAAAGUUAGCAUGCUUUAUAUUUGGGAGCUGCUGGGUUGUUUAUUGCAGGGAGCUCUACAGUGUUGGUGUGAGCAGAAUGCAGGUGGUGCAGGCUCCCAAAGCUUGGUUCUUUGAGCAGUGGGAGGUUCUGGGUUGACUUUUCCAUAAAAUCCAAGGUCAUUGGACCACUUGGACCAUUUUAAUCCUUUCCUUUCUCUUUAAAAGCCUCUGAACUGUUGUUGCAUCAUUCUCUCUCCCAUGGGGCGCCUCUACCUUCACAUUCCCUUGUGCACCCUCACUGUAAAUUUCCACAAUACAAUAUUUCAGAUCAGA